rnacentral:tRNA from 3 species
GGGCCCGUAGCUCAGUUGGUAGAGCAAUUCCCUUUUAAGGAAUGGGUCACAAGUUCAAAUCUUGUCGGGCUCACCA